GACAUGCAGCCACUGUCUGCCAGUGGAGAGGUUUUCAGCUUUCUAAGGUUUUGUAAAAUGAGUUUCUGCCUUGUGAAUUAAGAUUCCUGUGAACACCAUGGAAAUGUGUAAGAAAUAGCUCUGUGUAGUGAGGCCAUGAGAGGGAAACUGCCCAAAGGCAGCCCUCUGGGCUGUUGGUGUGACUUGUCUCCUUAUGCCUGCUGCAAGAGAAAUGUGGCUGAUACUGUACCCAGAGGACAGAGUGGAAAGUAUUAGUAGACUGCCAUUUCAGACCUCUUUGGGUCUUCAGAGGAGCUCAGCAUCCAUCAGCCACCAACAUGAGCACCAGAAACUUGGCCAUGCGACGUGGUGUGCAGGAAUAGUCACCCUUUGAUCCUUGUCUGGAGAAGCCACGUGGAUACAACCUGUGACAAGAGUCCACCAUUUUGUUUUUGAUCCUGGUGGUGAAUGCAUUUUUGACAUGCUGCAUCAAAGGAGAGUUGCCUUCUCUUCCCUGCCUGCGUAAGAAGCUAAAUUUCUGUCACCUUACCAGCAUCACCCUGAAAACAGCUAAAAGAGUAACUUUCAGGGACCAGCAACUCCUCAAGGAGUUAGUUCCAGCACUACUGCACUUGUACCAACCAGCAAGCUCUACAGCCUAAGUGAGCCUCCAAGACUCUGAGACACUGCCUUUAAGAGCAGCAGGAGGAGGCACUGGGCAGGCCCAGCCUGUUAGAGUGCGGAUAGGCUGUGACAUCUGUGGGGACAAAAAACCCCUGUGGAUUUCUUGGCCCCAUGCAAUUCAUCUCAAACCUGUAUUCAUAGUCUCUUGCAUCCUUUUGCUUUGAUUUUUUUUUUUGCCAUAUACCAGAACUGAGGCAUCUAGAAAUCUUCACGUGGCUGACACCUGUUCCACUGGUACAGGUUUGUGAAGACAGAAAAUAAGUAAUAAACUUUCUCUAUUAAAAAAAGAAAAUGUAAUUAAUACCUUACACGAGAGGGACAGUUUGAACCUGGUAUUAUUUAUCAGGGGAGACUGACCAUUCUCUUUCUGUGUGUCCAGGGUUGUAUAGCAGUGAGACUCAGUGGAAUUUCUCUGUGGAAGCAGACUACAUUAAUACUAACUUCUCAGCCUCACAUAUGAGGACUAGGGCUCCAAGAUUUAUUUUCAGUUAGGCUUAGGAGAGACAGAAAGGUGUUUCAAGGUUAAUAUAUUUGUUGCACAUUUCAGGGAGUCAGGGAAGAAAUUAAUUCCCAGAAGACUAAUUCUGCGUGAAGGGGAGCGCUAAUUUUGGAAAUGCUGUACCUCUGCUCUGUGGGUGUAGCUAAUACUUGUGGGUUCUUCACAGAGCUUCCUACUGUGCUUCAGCAGAGAACUGACACUGAAUCCAUAUUCUCACCUUCCCUCUUGAAAAUGUGGUACUUUCAAAUGCAGAUUUCAUUGUUCCUGUGAGCAAAAAUUAUUGGUAUUAAACUGCAUGCUUCCUGUUGUGUUUUGGGAAUAUUCAGAAUAGCUGGAAUGAAUGUGUGUCAGACAAGGCUACAUGCGCCUUUUCUGCUUCUAUGCAUGCCUUUUCAAGGUAAAUUGACACCUUUUUUUUUCCCCCAGAUUGAAAGAGCUCCUAGGAAACCCACGCCUAUUUAUUUGGCCAUUGGGUAGCAUUUAUUGUUAUUUGAAGCACACUUAAAGCAUGACUUGCUCUGUCAGUGUAUUCUCUUUGCAUGUCAUGUUGUGGACAUAAGCCAUAAGCAGUUGCUUAAAAUAGAGGAUUUGUUCCUUUUUAAAUCAAGGUAGUCUGCUGUUGAUCCAUUGUAGUUCAUACACUUUUCUGUAGUUCAUACACUUUAUUUCAAUUACUUUUUUUCUGAGUUCUCUGUCUAAACUAAAUCCUACUUGUUCUUUUUUCCUGAAAUAAAAUGCUAAAGUAUAU